rnacentral:rRNA from 1 species
GGAUUGAUCCUGGCUCAGAUUGAACGCUGGCGGCAUGCCUUACACAUGCAAGUCGAACGGCAGCACGGGGGCAACCCUGGUGGCGAGUGGCGAACGGGUGAGUAAUACAUCGGAACGUGUCCUGUAGUGGGGGAUAGCCCGGCGAAAGCCGGAUUAAUACCGCAUACGAUCUACGGAAGAAAGCGGGGGAUCCUUCGGGACCUCGCGCUAUAGGGGCGGCCGAUGGCAGAUUAGCUAGUUGGUGGGGUAAAGGCCUACCAAGGCGACGAUCUGUAGCUGGUCUGAGAGGACGACCAGCCACACUGGGACUGAGACACGGCCCAGACUCCUACGGGAGGCAGCAGUGGGGAAUUUUGGACAAUGGGGGAAACCCUGAUCCAGCAAUGCCGCGUGUGUGAAGAAGGCCUUCGGGUUGUAAAGCACUUUUGUCCGGAAAGAAAACUUCUGCCCUAAUACGGUGGGAGGAUGACGGUACCGGAAGAAUAGCAC